rnacentral:rRNA from 1 species
GGAUGAUACAGAGGGUUGCCAACCCGCGAGGGGGAGCCAAUCCCAUNAAAUCAUUCUCAGUUCGGAUUGCAGGCUGCAACUCGCCUACAUGAAGCUGGAAUCGCUAGUAAUCGUGGGUCAGCAUGCCACGGUGAAUACGUUCCCGGGUCUUGUACACACCGCCCGUCACACCACGAAAGUUUGUAACACCCAAAGUCGGUGGGGUAACCGUAAGGAGCCAGCCGCCUAAGGUGGGACAGAUGAUUGGGGUGAAGUCGUAACAAGGUAGCC